GACGAACGCUGGCGGCGUGCUUAACACAUGCAAGUCGAGCGGAGCGGUGAACGGGUGAGUAACGCGCGAGUAACUUCCCCCCUCUCUGGGAUUACAGUUGGAAACGGCUGCUACUACCGGAUCGUGGGGGAUGACUUGCGUCCUAUCAGCUUGUCGGUGGGGUAGUGGCCUAUCAAGGCGACGACGGGUAGCCGGCCUGGGAGGGAGACCGGCCACAUUGGGCUGAGAUACGGCCCAAACUCCUACGGGGGGCAGGAGUAGGGAAGAGUGCACAGUGGGGCAACCCCUGAUGCAGGAAACCGCGUGCGUGAGGACGGCCUUCGGGUUGUAAACCGCGUUCGGCCAUGACGCGGUAGUGGCAGAAGAAGCACCGGCUAACUACGUGCCAGCAGCCGCGGUAAUUC
rnacentral:rRNA from 1 species